rnacentral:lncRNA from 1 species
CAAAAUGUGUGAAUAAAUAAUAUGCAACAGUCAAAUGAGCCACUUAAUUUGGGACGGAGAGAGUAGCGACAACAUGAGACUCCUCGUACGUCACACAGGUGUCCUACUUGUCACUUGACAAAAAAAAAAGCAAUACCAUAUGCUAAACAGUAAGCAUCCACAUGGAUUACCACAAAAAAGACAAGAUCGUGACUUAAAAAAGAUUAUCAUGAACUUUGUCAAGUUGAAUUGUAUAUUGAAGUCUUUUGUUCUCAAUUUGUCGUUCUAUGUACUAAUUAAAUUACUAAUUGCAUUGAGCCUUUGUUUUUUCUGAUUUUGAUUGUGCCUUUGUCAUAUGCCUUUGAUUUCCAUUGCAAUUUUCUUUUGCAGUUGGCGGAUGCCUAACUUAUAUAACUAUGCCACUUUCUAAUUUUACAUAUAUCUCUUUUGAAUAUUU